UCAGUAUUUGCUGUAGGAAUUCACCAUUUUUACAAUAUCUUAAUUUAUGAAGCAAUUCCGCACAUAAUGGUAGACAUUUUUCGACACAGAAAAAAAAUAUGAAUUGCAAGGCAAUAUGUUGACUUUAGAUCAUACCAAAAGCAAUUACAAUUAGCAUUAAUAAGUAGUAAUUUUGUGCCAAAAUUUCAAAAUUUUUACAAACUUCUAAAGGGGAAAUAAAAACCAAUAUUAUGAUGAUUUCUAUUAUUGUAUUAAUAUUUUAAUCACCGGUGUUUAACACGAGUGUUCAUUUCUUAAUCAUAUAUAUUUAUAAAUUAAACACAUGGUAUUUAUAUAGAAAUUGCAAAUUAAACACCAGUGUUUAAUACGUUAUGUUAGAAAAUGACGCAGUUGAUUAUGUCAUAACAUGGCAUUUGAACGCAGAAGAUGUAGAAUCAGGCAUAUACUGACAAAGAAACACCAUAUUCAACAAUGAAAUAGGAGGGACAUUCAUCUGUUAUUGUGAAUCCUGAGAAGCAUACAUCACUUGAUAAAGAAACGGGAUUUUAAACGAAGAUCAUACUUAACCUUGAGAGGAUAUUUCUGAAGAGAAGAAGGAAGUAGAACUACUUAGUGUGGAUACAAUUUUGGAGAAUAGAAAACUGGAGAUCAUCAUCCGUUGUAGAUCGAGAACCUGAAUUUUACCCACAACCAGAGGAGCUAGACUGUUUAACUCGCUUAGAAUAUUAUAUGGAAUUGAGUGAGUGAUACCCCGGCAGCCCAUGUAUAGUAUCGAGAAUAUUUAAUGAAUUAGUCCUUUACAGUUCAAAACUGGAAAAUUUCUUCAUUUGAUCAUAAAACUUUGAAUAAUUAUGAAAGUAAACUUUACAACUGGAUUUAUCAGACUGAGUGUAAUACGUGUAUAUACAUGUACAUCCCGUACCCAGACAACAAAUGACAUUUUCAGUCUUUUUGCAUCAUAUAUAUUCAUGGAUUUGAUUCUUUUAUUAUUUAAAAAAAAAGAUGCAAAGGACGACCUAGCCCUUUUUAAAAUUUUACUGAUGAAAAAUAUUUCAUUUUAUUAAUCGAUAAUGUAUUUUAUUUUCUAUUUCAAAGACACCCCUUCCCGAAAUCAGUUUAUUGGGUUUUAGUUUACACAUGCAGGUUUUACAUGUUCGUGCUAGUUUGUUUUGAUAAUUCUAUUUUUUUUUAACUUAAGUUGAAAUGUAUCUAUUUGUAAAUGAAUGUGUUGUUUAAUGUUAUAAUUGUUUAUUAAGUUUGAACCCCCAAAUCCAACAUUAAAUCAUUUAUCAAUUUAAAAAAACUUUAUGUACAACAUGUUUAUUAUCAACCAAAUUAU